GGGUGUGUAGCUCAGUGGUAGAGUGCGUGCGUAGCAUGCACAAAGUCCUGGGUUCAAUUUCCGGUACCUCCA
rfam:Camelus ferus unplaced genomic scaffold scaffold964, whole genome shotgun sequence.